rnacentral:rRNA from 1 species
AGUGAACGCUGGCGGCAGGCCUAAUACAUGCAAGUCGAACGGCAGCACAGUGGAGCUUGCUCCAUGGGUGGCGAGUGGCGGACGGGUGAGGAAUACAUGGGAAUCUGCCCAGUCGUGGGGACAACGUAUGGAAACGUACGCUAAUACCGCAUGCGCCCUUCGGGGAAAGUCGGGACCGCAAGGCCUGACGCGAUUGGAUGAGCCCAUGUUCGAUUAGCUAGUUGGCGGGGUAAACGGCCCACCAAGGCGACGAUCGAUAGCUGGUCUGAGAGGAUGAUCAGCCACACUGGAACUGAGACACGGUCCAGACUCCUACGGGAGGCAGCAGUAGGGAAUAUUGGGACCAAAUGGGCGCAAGCCUGAUCCAGCCAUGCCGCGUGAGUGAAGAAGGCCCUCGGGUUGUAAAGCUCUUUUGUUGGGGAAGAAAAGCAGUUGGUUAAUACCCGAUUGUUCUGACGUACCCAAAGAAUAAGCACCGGCUAAACUUCGUGCCAGCAGCCG